rnacentral:rRNA from 1 species
GACGAACGCUGGCGGCGUGCUUAACACAUGCAAGUCGAACGCUGAAGCUCAGCUUUUGUUGGGUGGAUGAGUGGCGAACGGGUGAGUAACACGUGAGUAACCUGCCCCCUUCUUUGGGAUAACGCCCGGAAACGGGUGCUAAUACUGGAUAUUCACUGGUCUUCGCAUGGGGGUUGGUGGAAAAGGUUUUUCUGGUGGGGGAUGGGCUCGCGGCCUAUCGGCUUGUUGGUGGGGUUAUGGCCUAACAAGGCUUUGACGGGUAGCCGGCCUGAGAGGGUGACCGGUCACAUAGGGACUGAGAUAAGGCCCAGACUACGACGGGAGGCAGAAGUGGGGAAUAUUGGACAAUGGGCGAAAGCCUGAUGCAGCGACGCCGCGUGAGGGAUGGAGGCCUUCGGGUUGUGAACCUCUUUCGCUCAUGGUCAAGCCGAAACAAUGGUUGUGGUGAGGGUAGUGGGUAAAGAAGCGCCGGCUAACUACGUG